UACGAAGGGGGCUAGCGUUGUUUGAAAUUACUGGGCGUAAAGCGCACGUAGGCGGAUCCUUAAGUCAGGGGUGAAAUCCCGAGGCUCAACCUCGGAACUGCCUUUGAUACUGGGGAUAUCGAGUCCGGGAGAGGUGAGUGGAACUGCGAGUGUAGAGGUGAAAUUCGUAGAUAUUCGCAAGAACACCAGUGGCGAAGGCGGCUCACUGGCCCGGUACUGACGCUGAGGUGCGAAAGCGUGGGGAGCAAACAGG
rnacentral:rRNA from 1 species